UAGUUAUGGAGGAAGAAAUGGUUGAGGAAAAAAUUCCUGAAGAGGUUAGGGUUACCACUGAAAUAUCAAGAGGAGCCGAAGCUGUUGCUGAAGUGAGAACAGAAGUGGAUAAGCUCUCAGAGCAGGUCUCUGCUGUACAAGCAGUCGUGUUUGGUGGUACUAAUGUUGAGGACAAGGAUAUUAUCCAUUUGACAGAAAUGCUGAUGAGACAGCUACUGAAAUUGGACGGCAUUGAGGCUGCAGGAGAAGGAAGAGUACAAAGAAAAUCGGAGGUUCGUCGUGUCCAAAACUUAGUAGAGACAUUGGAUGCAGUAAAAGCAAGAAAUUCCAAUCCCUUUAUCAACAACAGUAAUGCCGUGUCAGUGACUACUCAAUGGGAGACAUUUGAUUCGGGGGUUGGAAGCCUGAAUGCCCCACCACCACCUAGACCUGUGCUUGAGGUUGGAAGCAUAAACACUCCAUCUCCUCCUAGACCCGUGCUUGGGGUUGGAAGCAUGAAGGCCUCACCUCCGCCUAGACCUGCGUUUGGGGUUGGAGGACUGAACACCCCACCACCUCCUACACCCGUGCUUGGAGUUGGAAGCAUGAACGCCUCAACUCCUUCUAGACCUGCGUUUGGGGUUGGAGGACUGAACACCCCACCACCUCCUACACCCGUGCUUGGAGUUGGAAGCAUGAACGCCUCAACUCCUU
rnacentral:misc_RNA from 1 species